UAACCCACAUCCGUCACCUGCCUGCCUGCGCGCGUAAACAGAGACGAUGUUUUUGCACAUUUAAAUACAUUUGCGGUAAAGGCAAACACACAGACGACGAAGGAGAGAACCACAUGCUGACCGGCAUUCUUUGGGCUUGCGGGUUACGUACGUAUCAGUGUCGGUCGGAAAGAAGUACCAUCAUCAUCGCGCCCUACAAACAUCUGAUGGUUUAAAUAAACGGUUCCGAACGAGAACAGAGCAAAACAAAAACUAUUCUGUGAAGGGAGAAGACUCGGACGAUCUCCGUACCUCCGGUAAGGUCUCCAAGAUAAACUUCUUCAAAAGAAACCUGCCAACGUUCAGAGGUGCAAAAAAGGAUAAAUAAGAUGACCUCCAGGAUUUUACAGCGAGCAGUGAAAUACCAACUUGGAAGAAUUGACGUGCGGCGAGUAUAACAAGUGGGGGACUACACGAAACGGAGUAAGAUUAAUGCGAGUUCUCGCCCGGCAGCCUGCUGCUGCUUUGCCUCUGCGUGCAUGCAAUUGAUAUUUGUUUAAUCGGCCCUAAAGUGCACAGACACAUUCGAACGACGACGCCAACUUUUCCGCGGCCUUUACGGGUGGUUGUUGAAGCGAAACAGCAACAAUGUGACAGUUGCUUCAAACGCAACACACGAGUCAUACAAAAUUGCAAACACUCUCGUACAGCCCUAGCGGGGCUGACGCGCGGCGAUGGCGGCCGCGACCAGCGAGAUGGAAACGUUCCUCGAUUUCCUCGAACCGCAACCCCAAGACUCUCCAGCGAGCUUGGAACAGAUAUGAUGAUGAUAAAAAAGCCACUGCACCUUCCCUUACCCCAAAAGGGGUACAACACCGCAGAAAACGAUGACUGAUGAGGCCGCCCCGGGUUGGUUGGUCGGGCCCGACCGAUGACGAUGAUGAUUGGAUGAGUCAAAUAUAAAAUCUAACCGAUUGCCGGCGCGCAAAAA